AAUAAAUCAAUUUUUCACUUUUUACUUUUAAUUUUUGACUCUUCGUCUUAUUUAAAUUUUUUUUGCGAUUGAUUUUUUUUGUUUUUAUUAGAUGAUAAAUUAUGAAUAGUACUUUACGUGUGACUAAUUUUUUAAAAUUUUUUGAAAAAAUUUUAAAUAAGACGGAUGAUCAAAUGUUGGACAUGUAAACCGGAGAAUUCGUUUUUU
rnacentral:pre_miRNA from 1 species